rnacentral:rRNA from 1 species
CAAGGAUUAGCCAUGCAUGUCUAAGUAUAAGCAAAUUUGUACUGUGAAACUGCGAAUGGCUCAUUAAAUCAGUUAUAGUUUAUUUGAUGGUACCUUGCUACAUGGAUAACUGUGGUAAUUCUAGAGCUAAUACAUGCAAUAAAGCCCCGACUUCCGGAAGGGGUGUAUUUAUUAGAUAAAAAACCAACGCGGUUCGCCGCUCCUUUGGUGAUUCAUAAUAACUUCUCGAAUCGCACGGCCUUGUGCUGGCGAUGCUUCAUUCAAAUAUCUGCCCUAUCAACUUUCGAUGGUAGGAUAGUGGCCUACCAUGGUUUCAACGGGUAACGGGGAAUAAGGGUUCGAUUCCGGAGAGGGAGCCUGAGAAACGGCUACCACAUCCAAGGAAGGCAGCAGGCGCGCAAAUUACCCAAUCCCGACACGGGGAGGUAGUGACAAUAAAUAACAAUAUAGGGCCCUUUCGGGUCUUAUAAUUGGAAUGAGUACAAUUUAAAUCCCUUAACGAGGAACAAUUGGAGGGCAAGUCUGGUGCCAGCAGCCGCGGUAAUUCCAGCUCCAAUAGCGUAUAUUAAAGUUGUUGCAGUUAAAAAGCUCGUAGUUGAACUUCAGACCUGGCCGGAUGGUCUGCCUAACGGUAUGUACUGUCUUGGCCGGGCCUUACCUCUUGGUGAGCCAUCAUGCCCUUUACUGGGUGUGGUGGGGAACCAGGACUUUUACCUUGAGAAAAUUAGAGUGUUCAAAGCAGGCCUACGCCCGAAUACAUUAGCAUGGAAUAAUAAAAUAGGACGUGCGGUUCUAUUUUGUUGGUUUCUAGAGUCGCCGUAAUGAUUAAUAGGGAUAGUUGGGGGCAUUAGUAUUCAGUUGCUAGAGGUGAAAUUCUUGGAUUUACUGAAGACUAACUACUGCGAAAGCAUUUGCCAAGGAUGUUUUCAUUAAUCAAGAACGAAGGUUAGGGGAUCGAAAACGAUCAGAUACCGUUGUAGUCUUAACAGUAAACUAUGCCGACUAGGGAUCGGGUGACCUCAAUUUUAUGUGGCGCUCGGCACCUUACGAGAAAUCAAAGUUUUUGGGUUCUGGGGGGAGUAUGGUCGCAAGGCUGAAACUUAAAGGAAUGACGGAAGGCACCACCAGAUACCC